UACGGAGGGUGCGAGCGUUGUUCGGAAUCAUUGGGCGUAAAGCGCGUGCAGGCGGUCCUGCAAGUCGGGUGUGAAAGCCCUUGGCUCAACCAAGGAAUUGCAUUCGAAACUGCCGGACUUGAGUGCGGGAGAGGGAAGUGGAACUCAUAGUGUAGAGGUGAAAUUCGUAGAUAUUAUGAGGAACACCUGUGGCGAAGGCGGCUUCCUGGACCGACACUGACGCUGAGACGCGAAAGCGUGGGGAG
rnacentral:rRNA from 1 species